CUAAUACCGGAUAAGAAAGACGGAUCGCAUGAUCAGCUUUUAAAAGGCGGCGUAAGCUGUCGCUAUGGGAUGGCCCCGCCGGUGCAUUAGCUAGUUGGUAAGGUAAAGGCUUACCAAGGCGAUGAUGCAUAGCCGAGUUGAGAGACUGAUCGGCCACAUUGGGACUGAGACACGGCCCAAACUCCUACGGGAGGCAGCAGUG
rnacentral:rRNA from 1 species